GCAGUGGUGGUUCAGUGGUUAAGACAUUGGCCUGCUGAUCAGUAGGUCAUGAGUUUGAGCCUCAGCACUAGCA